AGAUGGCUAUCGGAUACUGGGCGUAAGCGUGUGUAGGCGGUUCGGAAAGAAAGAUGUGAAAUCCCAGGGCUCAACCUUGGAACUGCAUUUUUAACUGCCGAGCUAGAGUAUGUCAGAGGGGGGUAGAAUUCCACGUGUAGCAGUGAAAUGCGUAGAUAUGUGGAGGAAUACCGAUGGCGAAGGCAGCCCCCUGGGAUAAUACUGACGCUCAGACACGAAAGCGUGGGGAGCAAACAGGAUUAGAUACCCUGGUAGUCCACGCCCUAAACGAUGUCAACUAGCUGUUGGGGCCGUUAGGCCUUAGUAGCGCAGCUAACGCGUGAAGUUGACCGCCUGGGGAGUACGGUCGCAAGAUUAAAACUCAAAGGAAUUGACGG
rnacentral:rRNA from 1 species